UCUCCGUUGGUGAACCAGCGGAGGGAUCAUUACAGAGUUGCAAAACUCCCAAACCCUUGUGAACGUUACCUAUCCCGUUGCUUCGGCGGGCGGCCCGGGCCCCGCGCCCGGCGCCCCCCGGCCCCCCGUGGGCGCCCGCCGGAGGUAAACCAAACCCUUGAAUUGCAUGGCCUCUCUGAGUCUUCUGUACUGAAUAGGUCAAAACUUUCAACAACGGAUCUCUUGGUUCUG
rnacentral:misc_RNA from 1 species